rnacentral:rRNA from 1 species
UACAGAGGUCUCAAGCGUUUGUUCGGAUUCAUUGGGCGUAAAGGGUGCGUAGGCGGCGCGGUAAGUCGGGUGUGAAAUCUUGGAGCUUAACUCCGAAACUGCAUUCGAUACUGCCGUGCUUGAGGACUGGAGAGGAGACUGGAAUUUACGGUGUAGCGGUGAAAUGCGUAGAUAUCGUAAGGAAGACCAGUGGCGAAGGCAGCUUGCUGGGACGGUACUGACGCUGGAGGCGACGAAAGCGUGGGGAGCAAACAGG